CCCGCGGGCCCAGCGCGUCCCGUGCCAGUUUGACUAAGGCCCGGCUCCACUGAAGCGACGGAGAUGAAAAGAGCCUUGAGGGAUCUUUGACUGGAUAAAUGGGACCAUGACCUAUCAUGUGGCCUGCUGCGCCGUGGUGGGAUGACAAACAGUCCAGGUGCAACGACCUCAGCGAGGAUCUUUAACCGGAUAAAUGGGACCCUGUUCUAUCAUGUGGCCUGCUGCGCCGUGGUGGGAUGACAAACAGUCCAGGUGCAACGACCCCAGCGAGUAUGUAAACAAACGGACAUCACACUGCGAGAAUGCAAACAAGUACCACAGCAGAUUCUUUGAUGUCUCAAAAGCCUGAUCAAGGGCCCUUGCAGUGCUACGCUAAAGCUAAAUGUGACGCAACAAUUGGAUCGCAGAUUUUACGUAGCAAUCACUGAUCCUUCCAAAAUAUUAGCACACACACCGUCCGAAUACCUGUCACGAGUAAAUGACUCCAAAACAGAGGCAUUGUCGCGCUACGCUCGCACAAGACAACAGCAAGUGAGACAAUGGCUCAUUUCUCAUCAAAAG